rfam:Salmo salar isolate Sally breed double haploid chromosome ssa24, whole genome shotgun sequence.
UGAUAGGCUUUAUUAAAUGCCACAUACAGUGACUUCAGAAAGUAUU